rnacentral:rRNA from 1 species
AUACGGAGGGUGCAAGCGUUAUCCGGAAUCAUUGGGUUUAAAGGGUCCGCAGGCGGAUUAAUAAGUCAGUGGUGAAAUCCUCUCGCUCAACGAGAGAACUGCCAUUGAAACUGUUAGUCUUGAAUUCGGUCGAGGUAGGCGGAAUGUGUCAUGUAGCGGUGAAAUGCAUAGAUAUGACACAGAACACCGAUAGCGAAGGCAGCUUACUAGACCUGGAUUGACGCUCAUGGACGAAAGCGUGGGGAGCGAACAGGAUUAGAAACCCGGGUAGUCC